AUACCAUUUGUACCGUAGACAGCAGGGGUUCUACUUUAGGAACUUAAUAUCCUGCCGAGGUAAUUUCGAUAUAUUUAGUCAUUGACUAUUUUCUGGAAUUUACUGCCCUCAAGUCUAUUAUUGUUGAUCUGAGGGUUUUCUUUUUG
rnacentral:sRNA from 1 species